rnacentral:rRNA from 1 species
CAGCGCUACAAGUGGCAACCAUGUUUAUUGGGCCUAAAGCAUCCGUAGCCGGCGCUGUAAGUUUUCGGUUAAAUCUGUACGCUCAACGUACAGGCUGCCGGGAAUACUGCAGCGCUAGGGAGUGGGAGAGGUAGACGGUACUCGGUAGGAAGGGGUAAAAUCCUUUGAUCUAUUGAUGACCACCUGUGGCGAAGGCGGUCUACCAGAACACGUCCGACGGUGAGGGAUGAAAGCUGGGGGAGCAAACCGGAUUAGAUACCCGAGUAGUCC